rnacentral:rRNA from 1 species
GAUGAACGCUGGCGGCGUGCUUAACACAUGCAAGUCGAACGAAGCAUUUAAGACAGAUUACUUCGGUUUGAAGUCUUUUAUGACUGAGUGGCGGACGGGUGAGUAACGCGUGGGUAACCUGCCUCAUACAGGGGGAUAGCAGCUGGAAACGGCUGGUAAUACCGCAUAAGCGCACAGUACCACAUGGUACAGUGGGAAAAACUCCGGUGGGAUGGGAUGGACCCGCGUCUGAUUAGCUUGUUGGCGGGGUAAUGGCCUACCAAGGCGACGAUCAGGAGCCGACCGGGGAGGGGGACCGGCCGCAAUGGGACUGAGACACGGACCAGACUCGUACGGAGGGGAGGAGAGGGGAAUAUUGCACGAUGGAGGAAACUCUGAUGCAGCGACGCGGCGUGAGUGGAGAAGUAGUUCGCUAUGUAAAGCUCUAUCAGCAGGGGAGAUAGUGACGGUAACGGACAAAGAAGCUCCGGCUAAAUACGUG